GCGGUUAUGGCUCAGUGGUAGAGCGCUUGCCUAGCACGCGUGAGGCACUGGGUUCAAUUCCUGGCACCACA
rnacentral:tRNA from 1 species